AACGAACGCUGGCGGCAGGCUUAACACAUGCAAGUCGAACGCCCCGCAAGGGGAGUGGCAGACGGGUGAGUAACGCGUGGGAAUCUACCCAGUUCUACGGAACAACACAGGGAAACUUGUGCUAAUACCGUAUACGCCCGAUAGGGGAAAGAUUUAUCGGAAUUGGAUGAGCCCGCGUUGGAUUAGCUAGUUGGUGAGGUAACGGCUCACCAAGGCGACGAUCCAUAGCUGGUCUGAGAGGAUGAUCAGCCACACUGGGACUGAGACACGGCCCAGACUCCUACGGGAGGCAGCAGUGGGGAAUAUUGGACAAUGGGCGCAAGCCUGAUCCAGCCAUGCCGCGUGAGUGAUGAAGGCCUUAGGGUUGUAAAGCUCUUUCAGUAGGGAAGAUAAUGACGGUACCUACAGAAGAAGCCCCGGCUAACUUCGUGCCAGCAGCCGCCGUAACAC
rnacentral:rRNA from 1 species